rnacentral:ncRNA from 2 species
AUCGACCACGGAGAUGACAUUCCUCCCGCCCCGAUAGGGAUAAACCGCCUGACCGGCUGAUGAUGUCUGCGUAACC